UUCCAACCUUGUGUGAGCUCCAAGAAUUGUUGCACCUGCUUCUUUCAAGUGCUCUUGCCCCAACCUUAAGCAGUUUCUUCAAAUGCAUACAAUUAUCAGGACUCGGUUGAAGACUCCAAGAGAACUUUCUGUGGAUCUCCAGAGUUCUCUCUGUGCAACUCUGUCCUGUCUGGUACUAUGCCCUGUGAAUUCUAGCCAUCUUGAUCUCCCUGAACAACAGUUUCCUCUGUCUGUUCAACACAGAGAAUCUGCCAGUUCUGCCGAGGUUGCCCCUUUACGCACUGCAGCCUGGAAACUCUCUCCAGGCAGUAAUGUGGUAUCAUCGUAACUCAUGAACCUGAGAUUCAAAACCGGGCCUGUCUGACUCCCAAGAUGUUGCUCUUAACUAUCGUGUGCAAAUCGGAAAACUCUCAGCCUCCACGGUUCCUCCCAGAGUUUCCUCCCAAGGUCUCCUCAGGUUGGCUCUGGGGCUGAACCACAGCUCUUGUUCUGGUGAUUCCCAUGCCUAGAAUUGGUCUUGCUGGGGAUGGGUGGCAAGUGGGUAGGUGGGAGCACUGUCCUGGACUCUAGAGGGCUUCCUGGGCCAUCUUUCUCUGGGUGGGAAAGGGGAGCACUUCUUAGAUUGGGCCUCAGUUAUGCCAUUGGUAACAUGGAGAAAAUAAUCCUACUCCUGGUAUUGCUGAAGUUAGUACAUGCUUCUUUGAGAUAAUAAAUGGAAGAAAUAUGAAGAGUCUGUGUAGUAGUUGACUGUCUAUGGGAUCUAACCCCCAACCAAAGUUCUAGCCUCAGUUCCCAAACAUUUCCACCAAACUAGGAAAAUCUCC
rnacentral:lncRNA from 1 species